rnacentral:rRNA from 1 species
CCUACGGGAGGCUGCAGUUUCGAAUCAUUCACAAUGGGCGAAAGCCUGAUGGUGCGACGCCGCGUGAGGGAUGAAGGCCUUCGGGUUGUAAACCUCUGUCACUGGGGAAGAAACGCUUCAAGUUAAUAGCUUGAAGCCUGACUUAACCCAGAGAGGAAGCAGUGGCUAACUCUGUGCCAGCAGCCGCGGUAAUACAGAUACUGCAAGCGUUAUUGGGAUUCACUGGGCCGUGUGGGUGCGCAGUGAGCCCCCGGGGCUUAACCUCUGAAUUGCGCCUAAAACUACACGGCUAGAGCAUUGGAGAGGGUAGCGGAAUUCACGGUGUAGCAGUGAAAUGCGUAGAUAUCGUGAGGAACACCAGAGGCGAAGGCGGCUACCUGGACAAUUGCUGACGCUCAGGCACGAAAGCGUGGGGAGCAAAAGGGAUUAGAUACCCCAGUAGUC